GAUGAAGAACGUAGCGAAAUGCGAUACUUGGUGUGAAUUGCAGAAUCCCGUGAACCAUCGAGUCUUUGAACGCAAGUUGCGCCCGAAGCCAUUAGGCCGAGGGCAUGCCUGCCUGGGCGUCACACGUCGUUGCCCCCCCAUCUACUCCUUCGGGAUUGCGGGGGGCGGAUGAUGGCCUCCCGUGCGCCUCGUCGCGCGGUUGGCAUAAAUGCCAAGUCCUCGGCGACGCACGCCACGACAAUCGGUGGUUGCGAAACCUCGGUUGCCCGUCGUGUGCGGUCGUCGCGCAUCGAGGGCUCGAAAAAAUUGCCGGGCUCCGGCUCGGCUUUCAACGCGACCCCAGGUCAGGCGGGGUUACCCGCUGAAUUUAAGCAUAUCAAUAAGCGGAGGA
rnacentral:misc_RNA from 1 species